rnacentral:rRNA from 1 species
CCUACGGGUGGCAGCAGUGAGGAAUAUUGGUCAAUGGACGAGAGUCUGAACCAGCCAAGUAGCGUGAAGGAUGACUGCCCUAUGGGUUGUAAACUUCUUUUAUAUGGGAAUAAAACGUUCCACGUGUGGGAUUUUGUAUGUACCAUAUGAAUAAGGAUCGGCUAACUCCGUGCCAGCAGCCGCGGUAAUACGGAGGAUCCGAGCGUUAUCCGGAUUUAUUGGGUUUAAAGGGAGCGUAGGUGGAUUGUUAAGUCAGUUGUGAAAGUUUGCGGCUCAACCGUAAAAUUGCAGUUGAAACUGGCAGUCUUGAGUACAGUAGAGGUGGGCGGAAUUCGUGGUGUAGCGGUGAAAUGCUUAGAUAUCACGAAGAACUCCGAUCGCAAAGGCAGUUCACUGGACUGCAACUGACACUGAGGCUCGAAAGUGUGGGUAUCAAACAGGAUUAGAUACCCGUGUAGUC